CUGCACAGUUAUCGAAUUGAAACAGGGAAUGUUUUGGAUAAAGGUUGGCAGUAAUAGCUGUACAAUUUCCUGUCCCUCUCAAUUUUUGUAUUUGAAGAUGGCCCCGAACAAAUUGCUACACU